rfam:Schistosoma rodhaini strain Burundi genome assembly, scaffold: SROB_scaffold0003356
AUCCUCUUAAAUUCGUGCCGAGAUUUCGUCAAACACUAGACCAUCAAGACUGAUGAGACUCCCUAGAUAAGUGAAGCG